rnacentral:rRNA from 1 species
AUUGAACGCUGGCGGCAUGCCUUACACAUGCAAGUCGAACGGUAACGGGCCUUCGGGUGCCGACGAGUGGCGAACGGGUGAGUAAUGUAUCGGAACGUACCUUUCAGUGGGGGAUAACGUAGCGAAAGUUACGCUAAUACCGCAUAUUCUGUGAGCAGGAAAGCAGGGGAUCGCAAGACCUUGCGCUGAUUGAGCGGCCGAUAUCAGAUUAGCUAGUUGGUGAGGUAAAGGCUCACCAAGGCUACGAUCUGUAGCGGGUCUGAGAGGAUGAUCGCCACACUGGAACUGAGACACGGUCCAGACUCCUACGGGAGGCAGCAGUGGGGAAUUUUGGACAAUGGGGGCAACCCUGAUCCAGCCAUGCCGCGUGAGUGAAGAAGGCCUUCGGGUUGUAAAGCUCUUUCGGCCGGGAAGAAAUCGUAUCAGCUAAUACCUGGUGCGGAUGACGGUACCGGCAUAAGAAGCACCGGCUAACUACGUGCCAGCCGCCGCGGUAACAC